rnacentral:lncRNA from 1 species
AUAAAAUGAGCAUAUAAAACAGUAGAUUUAAUAAAACUGAGAGGGUAUCCUGAUUUACUGUAAUCUGUUACUUUUCCGGAAGAAAAGUAAUUGACGUGUAAGAAAUGUCGGGGACACGAAUCGGACACGUGAAGAGUCACGCCACUUGUGCGUCAGUACCAUUUUAAUUUUCCUCCUGGAAACAGCAAGGACAUUGAUUUGAGUUUCUAACCAAGAAAGUAACAUGAGUGCUGCACAAGUAGCCAGUAAAGAUCCUGUGAGGGAUAUUCCUCAGAUCAUCUUAACUAAUACUGCGGAAGAUGAAGAUAUUCAAAAUGAAAGAGAAAAACCUCACUUCACCAUAGACAAUGACGAAGAUUCUUCAGAAUGUGGAGCCACUUUAUCCACUGCUUAUCUUCUGGAUAGCAAUCAGAUAUCUAACAUCGCAUACAGGACUAAAAUGAAACCAAGAACCUUCAGACAGUCUAUGUCAGGUGUGCAUUUAAUGCAACAAGAAAAGGAUGCAUUUAGGUUAGAU